rnacentral:rRNA from 1 species
ACUCAAAGGAAUAGACGGGGACCCGCACAAGCGGUGGAGCAUGUGGAUUAAUUCGAUACUAACCGAAGAACCUUACCCAGACUUGACAUCGAUGGUAAGCCCCUGAAAGGGGGCCCUCUCCCACAAGGAGACCUGAAGACACUUGUUGCAUGGCUGUCGUCAGCUCGUGCCGUGAGGUGUACGGUUAAGUCCGCCAACGAGCGCAACCCUCGUCCUGUGUUACCAGCAUGAAAGAUGGGCACUCACAGGAGACCGCCGGUGUAAACCGGAGGAAGGUGGGGAUGACGUCAAGUCAGCAUGGCAGUUACGUCUGGGGCUUCACACAUGCUACAAUGGGCGCAACAAAGGGCUGCAACACCGUGAGGUAGAGCGAAUCCCAAAAAUACGCCCCCAGUUCAGAUUGCAGUCUGCAACUCGACUGCAUGAAGGCGGAAUCGCUAGUAAACGCAGGUCAGCUAUACUGCGUUGAAUACGUUCCCGGGUCUUGUACACACCGCCCGU